UGGUUCUGGCAUCGAUGAAGAACGCAGCGAAAUGCGAUAAGUAAUGUGAAUUGCAGAAUUCAGUGAAUCAUCGAAUCUUUGAACGCACAUUGCACCCUCUGGUAUUCUGGGGGGUAUGCCUGUUCGAGCGUCAUUACAACCCUCAAGCUCUGCUUGGUAGUGGGUGCCACUCUCCCGUGGGCCUCAAAAUCAGUGGCGGCGCCGCCUGGCUCCUGGCACAGUAGCACUUCUUGCCAUGGAGGCUGGCGCCUGCGUGCCACCAACCCCAACUAUGCAGUUGACCUCGGAUCAGGUAGGGAUACCCGCUGA
rnacentral:misc_RNA from 1 species